ensembl:rRNA 5S_rRNA 5S ribosomal RNA
GCUUACGGCCAUACCACCCUGAGCACGCCUGAUCUCGUCUGAUCUCGGAAGCUAAGCAGUGUCGGGCCUGGUUAGUACUUGGAUGGGAGACCGCCUGGGAAUACCAGGUGCUGUAAGCU